UACUCCGCCAAAGAACAGCGGAGUUAUGUGAUGAUCAGCGUACGUUUGUCUGUGAAUCUGUCUGUCUGUGUGAAACAUCACUCAAAAACUGAAUAACAGAUUUGGAUGAAAUUUUCAGGAAGAUCAGAAAUGACACAAGGACCAAGUGAUUAGAUUUUGGCAGUGAUGUGGCUUGUAGUCUGGAUCCAAGAAUUUCCCAUUGCCAGAUGGUUUUUUUGUUUCUGCUUGUGUGUUUUACAGCCGGGAAUCAAACGGAUAAAACGUACCUUGUCCUGGUCCGUGUAUAUUUUGGUAAUUGGAUUUUCCGUUCUAAAGCAGGUAUUGAAAAACAAAAAACGAGUGGUAAUUUGAUUUUCGUUUUCAAAGGCAAAAAUUAAAAUUGAAAUACAAGGCGUUUUUCUUUUUCACGAUCAAAAGGGGAUAUACGAUUUUUAAGAAAUGCUUUGAUUUUCAUUUUUUAUUUACGAUAACAAAAAAUAAAAUAAGUAAGAGACAGAAACGAAGAAAGGUCCGUUUUUUCGUUUUCUGAGACCGGAAGUGGUCAUCAGCAAGGGUGGAGCCAAACAGUACGGUGCAUCGACUGUAAAUAAAUGGGUUUUUUUGUUAGUUUUCAUGGUCAAAAUGAAAGAUCAAGUGGCCGAUCUUAAAAUAAAUCAAUAUCGAUUUUUUAUUUAUUAAGUUUUGCGACGCAAGGGGGCGUGGUAACCUGAUUGACAGUUUGUCUGGAAUGACUGCCAGUCUGGAGGAUGUAGCCGAGACUCUGCUCUCCUGGAUUGGAUUAAUUCUGAUAUGGUCACUGGUGGUUUAUCGGUGAAGAAGCAGAACCUUUUCCACAGACACUUUUCCUGCCUGUUGGCUUGUUUUAACCAUCUUGCUCCCUUCGGCGGAUUCUACCGGCAGACACUGAAAGUUCGGUGUCUCAUGUUCACUGUGAGGAUCUUCUGAGUGAAGCCAACAGAAGGAAAACCUCAUCUGGUUGUGAAGAAGGAGACUGAAUGGACGACACCCUCAGUGAACCACUUCCUGUUUAACUUUCACUGACAGAAGGACAGACCAACUCUUUCAGCAGUUUAUUAUUUUCUGUUCUUAGUAUUCACAGAUUCUAUUUAUCACCUUUAACUUCAUCUCUGCUGCUGUAGCAGAAAUACAACAGGGUUUCUGCAGGACAUUAAUAGUCAUUAAGUUGAUUUUGCAAAAAUUAAGGCCUUAAAUGGCAUUAAAAAUCAUUAAAUUUGAUUCUUGGUGGCAUUAAAAUUUCUUUCUGCAGUUUUCAAGAAAGUAAUUGACAAUAAUAUAUAUUUAUAAAUUGCGAUUUGUCAGAUAUGUGCAUCUGCGGAAACAUGCCGAAGCAUUGAGAUAAUUGUUCCAGCCGGUUGGGUACAAUUUCUAAAAACUGCAUGUUUUUAAAGUGGUCGGCAGGCUGGACCAGGCUGGGAAAUGGAGAAACACAAAUUCCAGCAAAAAUGGCUCAAAAACGUGGAUUUCAGAGAAUGACUGCAGCCCGUUGGUGUUCAGGGGUGGUUCCCAGAUUCAGAAAUAGUCAAAUGUAGGGUUUUCAUAUAAAAAUCAUCUUUUACAACAACAAAAAAAACCCGUGUAAUUUGAGUUCAUGGUCGUGGCAUUAAAAUUUGUAAUCAUUUUUAUCACUAAACACCUUGAGAAUUAAGAAAAAAAUACUACAGGUCAAAUACUUACUUGGAAAAUUAUUGAAAUUGUUCCAAAAGAGAAAGCUCGGAGGUCAAUGGAAGACAUGUUGUUUGAACUUGGAAUGUGGUAUGUCUUACAAGUAUUAAUAUUUUCCUGCCAAAAAUGCUGCAAUUUAGCAGUUCAGAGUGUGGGGUGCUGGUGUAAUGUUUCGUGUUAUUUCAGUCAGCAAUAGGUACAGCUAGACAGCCUUAAAAAAUGUUGCAAUUUUGCAACUGUGGCCUCGUAGGGUUAAAUGGACUGUACAAUACAGUGGCUUUGAAAUAACAGUACUUUAAAUUAUCACAGAACAAAACGGUAGUUUGUACAUUUGACAGUUUUGGUGGCAUACUACUGCAGCCUUACCACAAUGCACAAACACCUAAAGUGAAAACACGGGCACUUUACAUAUUAGCCCUUCUACUGCCCUAAGUGCUCACACAUGCUGUAUUUUAAUAGACCUGAAUUCCCAAUAAAUCUGUUCUCAUUUACAUAUUUUUCUAUUUCUGUUGUCAGGCAACAAAAUGAGUACAAAUUAGUGACUGAAAUGUGGAUCAAUUAUCACCACAGUGUUUUCACUAGACUGUUUUUUCAAAAAUUAUGUAUUCAGCUGUAUUUUCAUAAAGAUUGAAGGCACUACCUGAGUCAGAGAACAACUGCACAACAGGGCAAAAAGGCACUGCUUUAGCAUCUCUGCUGGUAACAUAUCCAUCUCCUCUAUGCUGCAGUUGGUUUAAAAUGCAGCCGUAAUUAUUUUUUUUUACUUCAUUAAAGGGUGUAGUAAAAUGUAGGUGUUUCGCUGUCACACUACUGGCUUAAAUAAUGAGCCCUCUUUUUAAUUUCUAUCAUAUUGGAGUUGCCAGUUUACAGCAUUGCACUUUAAUAUGCAUACCUUUGUUUACAUUUUGCACUUUGCAGCAUUACACAGUGACAUAGUUUCAGAAAAAAAAUUUAAUGAAAUGCACAUCUUGCUUUUUGGAGGUCAUUUCUAUUGACAGAAUAUAAAGUAAAAUAGCUGACAAAAUGGACAGGAAAAUAGUUGUUUAUGGCAGCCUUGCCUGGUUUUAUUCCAGAAGAUGGUCAUGUGAUAGGAGCAUGAUGAAUCAGAGAGCAGCACGAACUGACAGCUCAGAACUAAUCAGAAAGCAAACAUGGAUGUUUGUACACAGUUGCAGAAACAACUAAAACUGUGGUCCACAACAUUUCUAAAAGUCUCAAUUUUCAUGGUGCUUCAAAUGCCAGAAUAGUGCUGGCACUGGGUUUAAAUGUAGCUGAAGUUACGCAUUUUUAAAUCAUAACACAUUAGUGUGGAUGUAGCCUAAAAGUAUUGGUUGAAAGUUUGCUUUUCAGGAUAAAGACAUGGUGAGUGGGAGACCAGUGCAGUCUGCAGACAUGGACUGGAGCAAAUGUCAGCAAACACUUCAGGAGUUCGAGGAGGUGCUGCAGCAUCUGGAGGUGCUAUUUUCUCUCAGCAAAGUGCAACGUUUAUUCUGAAUUUUCAAGAACAUUUAAACACAGAACAACAAUACUAGUGCAAUAUAUUUUUAAAAGAGCACAGCUUCAAGGUUUAAUGAAAUGUAUUGCUUUCUUUAAUUCAUUCCAGGGGCACAUUUGGCUGCCAGUAUCAUGUGUGCAAAUGUUUACAUUCAUUAAAAUCUGCAAGUGAUUUCAAUCAUGUAGCAAAUCACUCAGUAAGGUGCAUUACAG